CCGCGCAGAGGAGCGUGAUAGGCUGCUGAGGAGGGGGGGAACUGCAGCGCAGUCAGCGCCGCUGUCAGGAAGCAGAAGCCCACUCCGAAUGAAUGCAGCUCCCUGAGACCAGCUGAGAGAGGACGCUCCGUCUGUGUGAUUUACCAUGACUACUGAAUCGGGCGCAGACUCUGAGGCCAAACAGCCUCAGGCGAAAAAGGAGGCAGAGAAGGAGAAAACCAAAGCAGCGGCUGACCCUGCCUCGCCCCAGAAACAGCCGGAGCAGCUCCCAGCCGCAGUUGGACACAGCACCCCGGCCAGGAAAGAACAGGAGCAGCAGGAGGAGGAUCAGGAGUCCCACAGGUCGUCCACCAGUCGUCUGUCCAAGUCUCCUUUGAGGGGCGUUAAGAAAGUGAAGAUGAUGCAGUGCAAGAUCGCGCUGCUGGACGGCACUGACUAUACCGUCAACGUAGAGAAACGAGCCAAGGGUCAUGUGCUCUUUGACAAAGUGUGUGAUCACCUCAACCUGCUGGAGAAGGACUAUUUUGGCAUCACAUACAGAGACGUAGAGAAUCAGAAGAAUUGGUUGGACCCCACCAAAGAGCUUAAGAAGCAGAUCAGGACUGGUCCCUGGAACUUUGCUUUCAACGUCAAGUUUUACCCUCCGGACCCUUCGCAGCUGAGCGAGGACAUCACAAGGUACUACCUGUGCUUGCAGCUGAGGGAUGACGUUGUUUCGGGUCGCCUGCCCUGUUCCUUCGCCACCCACACAGUGCUGGGAUCCUACACGGUGCAGUCUGAACUCGGAGACUACGACCCAGACGAGCUGGGCAGCGAUUACAUCAGCGAGAUCCGCUUCGCACCCAACCAGACCAAAGAGCUGGAGGAGAAGGUCAUGGAGCUCCACAAGACCUAUAAGGGGAUGACACCUGCUGAAGCAGAAAUCCACUUCUUGGAAAAUGCCAAAAAACUCUCUAUGUAUGGCGUUGACCUCCAUCAUGCGAAGUUGGUAGGGAAUCUCUAUGAAAGCUUGGCUCCAGCUGAGGGAGAGGACUCGGAGGGAGUGGAGAUCAUGCUGGGAGUCUGUGCAAGUGGCCUCCUCAUCUACAGAGACAGGUUGCGGAUCAACAGAUUCGCAUGGCCCAAAAUCCUCAAGAUCUCGUACAAAAGGAACAACUUUUACAUCAAAAUCCGACCCGGCGAGUUUGAACAGUUCGAGAGCACGAUCGGUUUCAAGCUUCCCAACCACCGCGCUGCCAAAAGGCUAUGGAAGGUCUGCGUGGAGCACCACACCUUCUUCAGGCUCGUGUCUCCCGAGGUGCCUCCAAAGAAGUUCCUCAGCCUCGGCUCCAAGUUUCGCUACAGCGGCAGGACCCAGGCUCAGACGCGGAGGGCCAGCGCCCAGAUCGCCCGGCCCGCGCCCUUGUUCGAGCGCUCCUCCAGCAAACGCUACAACAUGUCCCGCAGCUUAGACGGAGCUCCCAUUAUGGAGAACCACGAGGCUCCGGUGAAGGACGGCACUGACGGCGCGCCCAAAGCCGUUGCCAAGGAAGACAUCAUCACCUCGGUGACGACGGAGAGGAAGGCGGAGGAGGAGAAGGAGGCGCGGGAGGACGAAGCACAGAAAGGCGGCGCGGAGACGCCCGAACCGACGGUGACCACGCCGCUCAGACACGACACGAAGCGCUCACCUUUUGUGUACGCCAACGACCCCCUCCGCUCCGAGCUCUCCCUCCCAUCGUCUCCCAUCUCGUCUCCCAAAGUGCGGCGGAGGCGCAGGGAGAGCGGCCGCAAGCGGGCCUCCUCGGUCAGCCCGGCCAAGAGCGGCGACGGCCGGCGGCGGCGGCAGGCCCGCGCCGACCGCACGGCGGCCCUGCUGGUGGAGCGGGCGCUGCUGCUGUCCGCCCGCAAGCAGCGGCUGGAGCAGGGCGGGCGGCGCGGCGGCGGCGGCGGCACGCUCUUCUCCUUCUCCCUGCACCUGCCCGACCUGUCCUCCUUUCUGGACGAGGACGGCUACAUCACCUUCCCCGACCUGUCCGAGAUGCGCUUCGUUCCGGAAUGCGCGCAGAACUUCCUCCCCUUCAAGUCACCGUCUCUAAUCCCCUGCUUCCUCUUCAUCUUCUUCUUCCUCCUCUCCACCUCCUUCUCAGUCCCCUACGCUCUCACCCUCUCCUUCCCGCUGGCGCUGUGCCUCUGCUACCUGGAGCCCAAGGCAGCCUCCCUGACCGCCUCCAUAGCCCAGGGCUACCAUGACCAUGACAGUUCAGAGGAAGAGGAGCAAACGCAGACUGACAGCGAACGUACGGACUUUGCCUGCGACGGAGAGAUGACUGCUACGGAGUACAGUUUCAUAAGACGAGCAAAAGGGGAAAAUGUUUUUAUCAGACAUAGUAAUCUGAUGCUAGAGGACUCUGAGCCCCCGCCCGAGGUGGCCAAGCACCAGACGAACAUCAGCGAGCUGAAGCGCUCCUUCCUGGAAACGGACGGCGGCGGCGGCGCUGCGGGUCUGACGGAGUGGGAGAAGAGACUCUCCUCGUCGCCUCUGCGCUCACCCAGGGCGGAUGAAGCGCCAAUGAUAGAGCCGCUGGAGCUGCAGGACGCUGAGGAUGAGCAGCCAGCCGGAGAGGAGACCAAAGAGGAAUUGGGACCUAAAGGCGCUGCGGCGGCGGGAUAUCUGGUGAAAUACAUGGCGGAUAGCAUUAUAACAGACGGGCCCUCCUCCUCCGGGCCCCACGGCAUUAGCCUGUCGACCACCAUGGACGACGACGUCUUCGUGGAUGGGACCCUGAGGGAGGAGGCGGGAGACAAAACCCCAGACUCCCAGGAGGAGGAGGAGGAGGAGGUAUCGGACAGGUCGAUGGUGAAGGUCAGCCCCGGAGCUGUGAGACAGGAAGUGUCUCAGGCCAUCAGCGACAAGAAAGGCACGCUCAUUAUCUUUAAGCAGGCGGAGAACAAAGAGGACACAGAGUACGAAGGGACGAGCGAAAAAGAGGGGCUCGCUGUCCCGGCGGAGUCUGAAGCCGACGGAAACCAGAGAGAAACAGAAGCUUCUGCUGCCGUAAAAGGUCAAACUUCAGUAGUUAAGAUGCUGAGUCCAGCGGUGGAGAUAAAAACUGGUGACGGCACUCAGAUUAAAGGGAUUGACUCUCCCAAGAAAGCAAUGGCGUCAUGGAUUUUUGAGGAGAAGGUGGAGAUCUCAGAGGUCACCAGUGUGUUUACGAAAGAAGUCGAAGAGCUGAAAGCUUUGGAAGAGCCGCAGCAGAAAGCAGAAGAAAUCCAGCCCAAGUCCAGCCCGACUCGCAUUGCAGUUUCUGAAUCUUCGUCUGCGUCCUUAGCAGCGUCUACGCUCGGAUGGGUGUCCCCCUCUCAAAAGGAAUCAGCUGACCAGGAUGAGAAGGAAGUUGUUAUUACUGAAAAUGAAGCUGAGCCCGCUAACUCCAAGGCUCACGAUGGAGGGGAGGUGGUUGCCAAAGAUGUUCCUGUGGUCCACACAGAGACGAAAACCAUAACCUACGAGUCCGCUGAGGCUGACACGAAUGGAGACGCAGACCCCGGGGUGCUGCUGAGCGCUCAGACCAUCACCUCAGAAACCACCAGCACCACCACAACCACGCACAUCACAAAGACGGUGAAAGGCGGCAUCUCAGAGACUCGAAUCGAGAAGAGGAUCGUCAUCACCGGAGAUGCAGACAUCGACCAUGACGAGGCUCUGGCUCAGGCCAUAAAGGAAGCUAAAGAGCAGCAUCCUGACAUGUCAGUGACCAAAGUAGUGGUACAUAAAGAGACAGAGAUCACGCCAGAGGAGGGGGAGGACUGACCCAGAUACACACAGCAUUGGGGAGCCAGACUGAGAAACAUCCGGCUACUGAAAUUCUAACAGAAUAACUGAGGGCUACUUCCUGCGACAUCCACUUCUCCACGACGUUUCGCCUGGACCCUCAGAAGGCUCCUCCUCCUCCUCCUCCACGGACGCUGCAGCCCGCCGCUCCACUCGUAAAACCUCGUCUGCAACAAAAACCAGUGAACACCCCUCUGCAUGAGAAGGACGCCAAGUUGCAUCAUCAACCCAAAUUGGCCCGUCUGAUUUGUAAUUUUUUUAUUUUAAUGAUUUUUUUUAUUUUAUUUUAUUUCAACGGUCCUCGAUUCGUCUGCACGCCCAAUCCCCGCGUGCGGCAAAGCAAACCUGCCUUUUACUGCCUUAUUGCGACUUUAAUGCAUUUUUACGAUUGCUGAGGAUAAUUACUGUAGCAGCAUUUUAUUUAUGAAAUAAAGCCAUCACUCCAGAAACUUGUAAUUGCUGUAGGCUGUACACGCUAGAGCGCAAAACACUAUUUAACCUCGAUGUAGAAGAAAAACGAGCACAGCUUCACUCCCACAGAAUGAUUUUUCCACCCGGUGCACCACUACAGACGUCGCUCCAGCUCUGCACUGUGUACAUAUCAAAGCCUCUAGAGGAAAGCAAGCUUGUAACGAUUGAUUUUUUUUGUGUCGUGUCUGUUUUGAAUUGAAUCCAUUUCACUUUUAUUGUGAUUUUUACCCUUCUUUUGUGACGUUUUCGUCCCACAACAAGCUUUAUUUUUUUGGCAGAAGCCGAGGAAUCAAAAUGAAAAACACAAAGGACGUUUGACGUGCCUGUGCAAGGCUUUGAAUGUUUUCCAGGGCGGGACGGUCGGCCGCGGCACAAGCUCUGCGUCUGCGCGACCGCGGGGCAAAGGGCUCAGACGGCCGAGCUCCGCCCAAAACAGAUGCAAAGCCGAGAGAAAUCAGCUAUCCUCCCUGGACAGCCGCCUCCAUGUCAGCUGUAUGCCUCCUCUGUCUGUCUGUCUCUGAAAGGUGUACAGCCCUGUGUUCCACGAGAGUGGAGAAGUAAAAAAGUGGCGGAUGCAUUUUUGUUCCUAAUUUGCAGUUUAUCCCUAAAUUAAUAAAGUGACCACAGUACAACA